GAGGGUAUAGUUCAGUGAUAGAGUGCAUGCCUAGCAUGCACAAGGUCCUGGGUUCAAUUCCCAAUACCUCCU
rnacentral:tRNA from 1 species